rnacentral:tRNA from 1 species
AGGGCUGUGGCUCAGUGGUAAAGCACUUGCUUAGCAUGUAUGAGACACUGGGUUCAAUCCUCAGCACCACUC